UACUCGAGUGGCGAACGGGUGAGUAACACGUGGGUGAUCUGCCCUGCACUUCGGGAUAAGCUUGGGAAACUGGGUCUAAUACCGGAUAGGAACCAUCUUUAGUGUGGUGGUUGGAAAGUUUUUUCGGUGUAGGAUGAGCUCGCGGCCUAUCAGCUUGUUGGUGGGGUAAUGGCCUACCAAGGCGGCGACGGGUAGCCGGCCUGAGAGGGUGUACGGCAACAUUGGGACUGAGAUACGGCCCAG
rnacentral:rRNA from 1 species